AACGAACGCUGGCGGCAUGCCUAACACAUGCAAGUCGAACGAGACCUUCGGGUCUAGUGGCGCACGGGUGCGUAACGCGUGGGAACCUGCCCUUAGGUUCGGAAUAACUCCCCGAAAGGGGUACUAAUACCGGAUAAUGUCUUCGGACCAAAGAUUUAUCGCCUUUGGAUGGGCCCGCGUUGGAUUAGCUAGUUGGUAGGGUAAAAGCCUACCAAGGCGACGAUCCAUAGCUGGUCUGAGAGGAUGAUCAGCCACACUGGGACUGAGACACGGCCCAGACUACUACGGGAGGCAGCAGUGGGGAAUAUUGGAAAAUGGGCGAAAGCCUGAUCCAGCAAUGCCGCGUGAGUGAUGAAGGCCUUAGGGUUGUAAAGCUCUUUUACCCGGGAUGAUAAUGACAGUACCGGGAGAAUAAGCUCCGGCUAACUCCGUG
rnacentral:rRNA from 1 species